AACGGUUUUCACAGUUCUGGAAUAAUCCAAUCUUUCUGCUCAAUCAAUUCGUUUCAAAAAGUUUUGGGUUUCUUUUUAUCUAAACCAUUAUCAAAGUUACAGACUUGACCGCCAUAGUUUUGUGAGGUGAGCUAGUAAUUAUAGUAAUGGCGGGCAGAGAAGUUCGUGAAUACACCAAUCUCAGUGACCCAAAAGAUAAGAAAUUGGGGAAAGGAAAGGAUAAAAUUGAUGAUGAAGAUAUCACAUUCCAGCGAAUGGUUGCCAAGGGAUCUUGGCUUCUUCUACCGGUAUGUUGAUGCAAGCAGAUGCAAGAGGUUGCUGGAGAAAGAGGAGGCUACCUCCAUGGACGAGGCGCCUUGGACAGCGAUGACCUACUCUAUCUAAAGGAGCAGAUGGAAGCUGAGGAGGACGCUGAGCGUCUCCUUCGCCGUACUGAGAAACGGGCAUUUGCUGCCUUUAAGAUAUCCUUUCACAUUGUUUAAACAAAUUAUGCUUUCAACAGUGAAAGUUAUUUGCUCUCAACUGCACAAGUUACUCAUAAAUUGCUGGGAAUCACUUUCUUUCUUGGAUAAGUAUGAAACUUUUUAAAAGCUUCUGUUUUGAAUUUUGAAAUAUAAUUUUGAUCAAUUUCAUAUGAUACCUUACUAGUGCUUUCUUCUUUUUGAAAAUUUGAUUAUCAUAUUUCUCUGUUGAUUUGUUUUGUCAUGGAACUUGAAUGUAGUAAAAGCUGCUAUUGAUAAGCAUGGACAUUUUUCCUUUUUUUUUUUUUCACGCACUCGUGGAAAAGAGUUAAUCACAUAUCUAGCAAAUAAUUAUGAAAUAGUACAUAGUAAUUUAGAACUUUAAUUCUCCUUAUAAACAAGCACUAGUUGAAAAUAUUAGAAAAUACGGAUUCCUCGUUUUCAUUUGUUUUACCUCAUACUUCUUUCCUGUUUUCCACAUCCGACAUCUCAUCUUAUGCCUUGACAUGAGAAUCCGACAUCUCAUCUUCUGCCAUUUCUUAUUUAGAAAUUUGCUUCUCAUUAUCCCUGCACUAAAUAUUCGUAGAUAUCAACAUUGAUUCAAAUUGCUUGUAGAAUAUGCAUUUCUUUUUGUUAUUCCUGUUCCCUAUAUAUUUUAUGUUGUUGGAUGUUUCAGAAAGUUGGUUAGAUAUUUUUCUCUGGUUAGUGCUUGUUUUCUUUGACAUCAAUUUCCUGCAUAAAUAAGCUAGAUGAAACUAGUUUGUGAUUAUUAUAUAUUCUCAUGACAAUUUUUGUGGUACAAACAAUGUCACAUUUUUUUGCCCUCACAAUUCCUUAACCAAUUGGCACAAAGCUGCAAGUUUAGUGGAUUCUUCGCCUGCAUCUGUUCCCUUGCCAUUGCGUGUUGAGCCCAAGCCAAAGAGUGGAAUCAGACAGCAAGAUUUACUAAGGAAGGUAGUGGAAAUUAAACCGAAGCGUCAUAGAGUUUCGAGCCCAACAGAUGGGAAUCAGUCUACCCUGAGUUCAGCGAAUCUCAAGUUAGAAUCUAAAAAGGAGAAUGUAAAAGAGUACCCAUUGUCAAAAUCAGACAAAGCAGAAGACGAGAGGCGAGAAAAUAAUCCUGUUAAAGGCUUGCUAGGCUUAGCUUAUGCAAGUUCUGACGAUGAAGAUUGACUAACAAACAGGCAAGAGUUAACAUAUAUGCAUUUGUCUCAUAGUUUGGUUUUUGUUUGCUUUGUUUCUUAAGACCCUCAUUGUUAACCUAAUCUAGUUCUGAAUGAAUACAUUAUAAGCAGAAACAGAAACAGAAGUGUACAACUUGAGUUGGAGAAAGCUAUACUUUCUGUAUUCUGAAGUGGUUGAGUUAUUAGUAUCUUCUUUAUAUUCCUUGUCUCUUCAAUCCUAACUCAUCAUUCGGACUUGUGGUGCAUUGAAAGCGCCAGUUGAUCUUGCUAAUAACCUCACGAUUUUCGCAACUGCAAUGCAGAAAAUCUUUCGCCGGUCAUAUUGAGGUUCUGCAACACUUGUAUCCCUGUUUGGAUGAAGAAAUGUCCAUUUUUGUAAACGUUCCCAACUGAGUAAAACCACCCCUAGUUUUUACUACCGAUGAUAAGGCUUCUUCUUGUGACCUAUCAAAAUAAAUUAAACCAUGUUGCUCUAUGCUUGACAUGAAUCUUACUGUGUUUUAUAUUGUGAGAGCAAUCAAAAGACAUUGUGAUAUGUUA